rnacentral:lncRNA from 1 species
AUAACAUCAAAAAUGAUCAGUGCAGAGGACCUCAGGGUCAGUUAGCCUGAGGGCUCAGAGCAACAGCAUCUACUGAACAUUUACCCACAAUGAGCUAAAGUCUCCUCCAUGUGUGCAUAGCUUCAUAGACUCACAAGGACAUCUUUCUCCAAUGACCAUCUGUCUUCCUCUUGCACCAAUCAAGGGGUGGCUACAUGGCAUCUCCCUGGUGGCUCCUCUCUGUGUUCCUCUCCCCAGAAUGCUCCUCAUCUUGUAGCCCUGCCUAUACUUCCUGCCUGGCUACUGGAAAUCAGCAUUUAUUCAUCAACCAACAAGAGAAACAUAUAUUCACAGCACAUAGAAGUACAUCCCCCGUCACAUCAUACUAAGCGGAAAUCAAGUUCAAUUUCAGAAGAACCAACAACCAUCUCAAAGACUCAUCCUGCUUCUCCACAGCAACAUUUUCCUGCUGACAGAGAAUGUUGAACAGCAUUCUACAAUGUGUGAGUCACCCUCAGAUUUCACAGCAUGGGACAGACUGCAGAGCCUGGAGACACAAGCCUGUCUUCCUAUCCACUCUGGAGAGGGAGCCAAGUGGAAUGCAAGGUCGAGGCCUGCCCAUGUCCCUUGUCCCAUGUCCCUUGUCCCAUGUCCCAUGUCCCAUGCCCAAUGUCUCUUGUCCCAUGUCCCAUGUCCCUUGUCCCAUGCCCCUUGUCCCAUGUCCCAUGUCCUGUGCCCCUUGUCCC